rnacentral:lncRNA from 1 species
GCUAAAUUAUAGCAUAGAAAAUGCAGGCUUUCCCCCUCCCCCAUGAACUUGCUUUGUUAACAUCUUGUGUUAGGAUCAGGCCAUCUGUACAGGGCUACACACACUUCUUAAUUGUACCUCAUUUUAUUCUGUGCGAGUGCUCUCUUCAGUUAUAUAAAAAAUACUGAAUCUGAAAUAUGCCCUGUAAGUCUGUAAGUAUUGUGUGUUUUCAGAAGACUAUUCAUAUUUUUUAUAACAUUUUGAAAAGCUGUUUCAUAAUUCAUGUAUCAGUUGAAUGUUUUUGUUCCCCCUUGU